CAUGCUCCCGAGUGUCCUCAAACGUCUCUUUGGGUGUUUUCUUCCUACUCAAAGUUUACUUUCGCAUUCCUGAACUUCGUGGAGUGGAGCUUGUUGUUGGUGUGUGAAGAAACUGUUAGAGAUGAGGAGCCACCAGUGAAGCUGCUCUAUCAGCUCUCCUGCAGCCUGAGCGUGGUCCACAGUACCUGCUGUCAGACUGACACAUCUGUUUGAGUGUGAAGGUAGAAAGUGUGUGUGAGCUGAAUUGAGCAGCAUGGAUCAGUGUGAGGACAGAGAG